CCUACGGGAGGCAGCAGUGGGGAAUAUUGCACAAUGGGGGAAACCCUGAUGCAGCGACGCCGCGUGAGUGAAGAAGUAAUUCGUUACGUAAAGCUCUAUCAGUAGGGAAGAAAAUGACGGUACCUGAGUAAGAAUCCCCGGCUAACUACGUGCCAGCAGCCGCGGUAAUACGUAGGGGGAAAGCGUUAUCCGGAUUUACUGGGUGUAAAGGGAGCGUAGACGGUGCGCCAAGUCUGGAGUGAAACGCCGCAGCUUAACUGCGGAGCUGAUUUGAAAACUGGCGAACUAGGGGGCGGGAGGGGUAAGCGGAAUUCAUAGUGUAGCGGUGAAAUGCGUAGAUAUUAGGAGGAACACAGGUGGCGAGGGCGGCUUACUGGACCGUAACGGACGUUGAGGCUCGAAAGCGUGGGGAGAAACCAGGAUUAGAUACCCUUGUAUC
rnacentral:rRNA from 1 species